rnacentral:rRNA from 1 species
UACAGAGGGUGCAAGCGUUAAUCGGAAUUACUGGGCGUAAAGCGUGCGUAGUCGGUUAUUUAAGUCGGGUGUGAAAGCCCCGGGCUCAACCUGGGAACUGCAUUCGAGACUGCAUAGCUAGAGUAUGGGAGAGGGAAGUGGAAUUUCAGGUGUAGCGGUGAAAUGCGUAGAUAUCUGAAGGAACAUCAGUGGCGAAAGCGACUUCCUGGACCAAUACUGACGCUCAUGUGCGAAAGCGUGGGGAGCAAACAGG